UCGGUGCCCUUCGGGGCUUCAAACGGGAAUAUGGUGCAAAUCCAUAGCUGUCCCUGCAACUGUAAGCGGUGAGCGCGGGAUGCCGGUUCCUGAAACAGGGAACAGCCACUGGAGCGAUCCGGGAAGGCCGCAUCCUCGACGCUUCGACCCGCAAGCCAGGAGACCUGCCGAUGCG
rnacentral:ncRNA from 1 species